UACGUAGGGCGCAAGCGUUGUCCGGAACUAUUGGGCGUAAAGAGCUCGUAGGUGGCGUGUCGCGUCUGCCGUGAAAGCCCAUGGCUUAACUGUGGGUCUGCGGUGGAUACGGGCAGGCUGGAGGCUGGUAGGGGCAAGCGGAAUUCCUGGUGUAGCGGUGAAAUGCGCAGAUAUCAGGAGGAACACCGGUGGCGAAGGCGGCUUGCUGGGCCAGUUCUGACGCUGAGGAGCGAAAGCGUGGGGAGCGAACAGG
rnacentral:rRNA from 1 species